AUCCGCCGGAAGUGCGUCCGUCCGGGCGAGGAAGGAAAUAGGGCGCGGGGCGCCGCCGUGGAAGAACUCCAUUCAGAGGCAGUCGUGAUAAACCAGAGCAUCAGCCCUUUCCGCUGGGAUACCAAUAAGUCUUGAACUUCAAAACUGCUGACCUAAAAAGGAUACUUGAGAAGGAGCAAGUCUUUCCUUUUUUCUUUUAAAGAAAGCAACACCAGAAGCAGUCGAACUUCCUUGUUCACUUAGGUGCAUGCAAAAAAGAAAACAGGUUUACUCUGCUUCAGGACCCUCUCUUACCCCUCAUGGCGUGAGCCUGAAGCCUGUCCACUGAGGAGCGUUCUAAGAACUUCCAGAUCAUUCCAUGGAACUACAGCAGAAAGGACCCGAGGUGAGAAGAGCUAAGACCUGACCUUCGGGCACAUGCUGAGAAACUCGCCCACAGGUGUUUGGAGGAACCCAAAGACAAACAGCAGCCAGUGUGCUGGACGUCGGCCACAAGGAAACAUGGUAUUUGGAACCGUCCCAGAGUCGUUCUUUUUACUGCAGAUGGAAAGAGGCAGGCAGAGUCUUACGCCGUGGCAGAAACGUCCCACGGAGCCAAGCUCCUUACCCGCCACCCAAGCGAGCACUUUCUAUCUGAGUCAGGUGAUCCGGAUGCUACUCAUCUGGAGACCACGCUGGUCCUGAGCCCACACCAGUGGGCCUCCAGCCGCAAAGGGAAGAAGGCAGGCGGGGUGUCGAUCUGAGAAGAAAACCCACCAGGAGAAGGGAGUUAAAGCUGUUCCUAGACCGCACAGCGUGGUCACAGCCUAGCAGACCUCGGGGUCCUCGCCUCUGAAGGGAAAGAGGCCUGUAAGCUUCCGUCCAGCGCCUUCCAUGAUCCCGCGGACGCCAGGCUGCAGGAUCUAAUGCCACGUGCUUUGGUGACCACGAGAACUCGUUACAGGUGACGCCGUUUUUCUCGCUAUUGACUGUUGGUGAGCGAGGUUCUCGGGUGUCGGGAUGAGCUGUGGGUGGCGCCUAAUGUAGAGUUUUCUAAUUGUUUUUCCCGUUGGAUGUAACACUGUGGGGGGAGAGACCUCUGACUUUUCCACCUAGUUUCUCUCCAGAUGAAAGGAGAUGUUCACUCCUCCCCAAAGUAGGGAGACCCUGUUUGAUUUGUGUCAAGCCAAACAUCUAGGAGACGGUUUUAAAUAUUGCGGGAGAAUGCGCCUACUUAAUCAAAGCCCCGUUUAUGCUCAUUUUGCCUAUGAAAUCGCUUCACUCUUUCGCCUAGCGAAGACUUUUCUCUUUUCAAGAGCACGUGUGUUGAAACCAAAAAACCCAGUUGUCCUCCUGGUCAUCGGAGGCCCUGGUGUGUGAGUUGUAUGUGCUCCGAAUGUUUCCGUGUCUCCUUGAGGUGUGGAUGUUUGUGUCCUGAAUGUUGACAAUGAUGCAGAUGAUAGAUGGGCAGGGCUGGAAGGGGUGGAAGAUUCCCAUCUGCUCCUUGGUUCCCUUUUUGUCUUCAUUCAGUUCUUCAAAAAACAUUUCUUAAAUGCUUACUCCAUAGCUGGUUAAAAAUAGAUUCCCUCGCUGCAGUUAGAAACUACCACUUCCAGGAAUCUGAUGACAUCUUUCUUUCUUUCUUUUCUUUUCUUUUCUUUUUUUUUUUUUGGCGGAACCAGCAGCAUGCAGAAAUUCCCUGGCCAAGGAUUGAACCUGAGCAGCCGUGACAACGCCAGAUCCUUACCCACUAGGCCACCGAGGAAAUCCUUAAGACAUCUUUUGAACAAUCAUUUUGCUUUCUCUUCGGGGUAUCUCUGAUCCAGAAACUUAAGCUGCUCUUCAAUUACUGACUCAUUUGUGGCUAGAAAGGCAAUCCAUUCAUAAGUCAUGGGGCAGGUGGCAGCUGGGAAAUUUGUGUCCCAAUUCUGACAAGUCAAAGACUUUCAGGUUUCUUCAGGGGAGACUUUCACUGGGAGCUUUUAGAAGCCUGGGCCUGUCUCUAUGCCGACCUGUUUCAUUCAUUCGAUAAAUUUCACUAAGCGCCUACAGGGUCUGAAAACAUGUUUGUUGUCCUGUGUGGGCUCCCUGUAAACUAGACCUAGGGGGUGUGUCUGUGGGUGUGGGUGUGUGUGAGGCGCUAUAAUCCAGGGUGCUGAGUUUUUCCAAAGACCGAAAAGUCCCUGUGGACAUGGACAGAAUUGGUCAUUGCAUGACUAUACCCCCAAUUGUCUAGAACAUCUGGAGUGAUUGGUAAAUAUUUGCUGACUGGGUGCAGUAAUAGAAAAAUAAACCAGGAGCUGUAGAAACACCGAGGAUAUGCUGAUUAACCCUGCCUGCGGGUGCAGGAAGGAUCCUGAUCACCAGGAGAAGAAUCGAGAAAGGCCCUUCCCCCAUCUUCCUAGGAGGUCCAGAGCAGCCCGAAUUAUAGACUUAAAUGUUCUAUGUGUUUUCCAUAUCUGUGAGCCCUGCGUUUUGCUAGAUACAUUUUUUGUAUUAUUUUUUAGAUGCCACAUGUAAGUGAUAUCAUACAGUAUUUGUCUUCCUCUGACUUUUUUCACUAAAUGUAAUGUUCUCUAGGUCUAUCCACAUUGCUCCAAAUGGCAGGAUUUCAUUCUUUUCAUGGCUGAGUAAUAUUCCGUCGUAUAGAUACACCGUAUCUUCUUUCUUCCUUUGUCUGUUGACAGACACUUGGGUUGCUUUUUAGCUUGGCUUUUGUACGUAACGCUGCUGGAGUUCUGGGGUGCAUGCUCCUUUUCAAACGACUAUUUUUGUUUUCUUUGGCUAUAUACCCAGGAAUGGAAUUGUCAGAGCACCUGGUAGUUCUAUUUUUAGUGUUUUGGGGGACCUCCAAUUUUUAGUUUUUCACAGCGGCUGUACCAAUUUACAUUUCCGCAUUGUACAAGGGUUCCCUUUUCCCCACAUCCUCACCAACAUUUGUCAUUUGUGUUCUUUUUGAUGAUGGCCAUUCUGACAAGAGCGAGGUGAUAUCUCAUUGUGGUUUUGACUUGCAUUUCCCUGAUGAUUCUUCUGGUAACUUGGAACAUUUGCAUAUAGCAUCCUGUUAUAAUGCAGAAGAAAACCCUCAUUUGCAGAUAUAUGGUGUUAAGCAUCUUUUCAUGUGCCUGUGGGCCAUCUGCAUGUCUUCCUUGGAAAAAUAUAUAUAAAGAUCUUCUGCCCAUUUUUUAA
rnacentral:lncRNA from 1 species